rnacentral:rRNA from 1 species
CAUUGGCUCAANCAAUGUAUGCUUUGGAAACUGUUAGACUUGAGUGCAGAAGGGGAGAGUGGAAUUCCAUGUGUAGCGGUGAAAUGCGUAGAUAUAUGGAGGAACACCGGUGGCGAAAGCGGCUCUCUGGUCUGUCACUGACGCUGAGGCUCGAAAGCGUGGGUAGCGAACAGGAUUAGAUACCCUGGUAGUCCACGCCGUAAACGAUGAGUGCUAGGUGUUAGGUCCUUUCCGGGACUUAGUGCCGCAGCUAACGCAAUAAGCACUCCGCCUGGGGAGUACGACCGCAAGGUUGAAACUCAAAGGAAUUGACGGGGGCCCGCACAAGCGGUGGAGCAUGUGGUUUAAUUCGAAGCAACGCGAAGAACCUUACCAGGUCUUGACAUCCCGAUGCCCGCUCUAGAGAUAGAGUUUUUCUUCGGAACAUCGGAGACAGGUGGUGCAUGGUUGUCGUCAGCUCGUGUCGUGAGAUGUUGGGUUAAGUCCCGCAACGAGCGCAACCCUUAUUGUUAGUUGCCAUCAUUGAGUUGGGCACUCUAGCGAGACUGCCGGUAAUAAACCGGAGGAAGGUGGGGAUGACGUCAAAUCAUCAUGCCCCUUAUGACCUGGGCUACACACGUGCUACAAUGGUUGGUACAACGAGUCGCAAGCCGGUGACGGCAAGCCAAUCUCUGAAAGCCAAUCUCAGUUCGGAUUGUAGGCUGCAACUCGCCUACAUGAAGUCGGAAUCGCUAGUAAUCGCGGAUCAGCACGCCGCGGUGAAUACGUUCCCGGGCCUUGUACACACCGCCCGUCACACCACGAGAGUUUGUAACACCCAAAGUCG